AUUCUACUCCCUCCGUUGCACAAUACAUGCCUUCUAUUUGUGAAAAUAUAUAUGUAUCUAGACAUGUUUUAGUAUAUAGGUACAUCCAUUUUUGGACAAAUGGAAGUCAAGUAUUUUGGAAAGGAGGGAGUACAUA
rnacentral:pre_miRNA from 1 species